UACGGGAGGCAGCAGUGGGGAAUAUUGCACAAUGGGCGCAAGCCUGAUGCAGCCAUGCCGCGUGUAUGAAGAAGGCCUUCGGGUUGUAAAGUACUUUCAGCGGGGAGGAAGGCGAUGCGGUUAAUAACCGCGUCGAUUGACGUUACCCGCAGAAGAAGCACCGGCUAACUCCGUGCCAGCAGCCGCGGUAAUACGGAGGGUGCAAGCGUUAAUCGGAAUUACUGGGCGUAAAGCGCACGCAGGCGGUCUGUUAAGUCAGAUGUGAAAUCCCCGGGCUUAACCUGGGAACUGCAUUUUGAACUGGCAGGCUUGAGUCUUGUAGAGGGGGUAGAAUUCCAGGUGUAGCGGUGAAAUGCGUAGAGAUCUGGAGGAAUACCGGUGGCGAAGGCGGCCCCUGGGACAAGACUGACGCUCAGGUGCGAAAGCGUGGGGAGCAAACAGGGAUUAGGAUA
rnacentral:rRNA from 1 species